AAGUGACUCACCCAUUGGACGAGGAGCGUCACAUGGGAACAAAACGACAGCAGACGAUUCUGGAAGGCGAAGCCCGCACUCUUGCAUCUGAACAAAAAGAAGGCCAGAAGCAGUGAAACUACCAAGUAGAUAAACCACCUUUUGAAGAUUGAUGUUACCGCCCUAAAGCCCACAGCUGAAGGUAGUACUAAACCAAAUAACUUCCGGCUGGGUCAAAGUGCGAGGUGCACCGAACUUUUG